rnacentral:rRNA from 1 species
UAUGGGCGGCACAGAGGGAAGCAAGACCGCAAGGUGGAGCUAAUCCCUAAAGCUGCUCUCAGUUCGGAUCGCAGGCUGCAAUUCGCCUGCGUGAAGUUGGAAUCGCUAGUAAUCGCGGAUCAGCCUCGCCGCGGUGAAUACGUUCUCGGGCCUUGUACACACCGCCCGUCACAUCACGAAAGUUGGUUGUUCCAGAAGCAGUUGCGCUAACCUUCGGGAGGCAGGCUGCCAAGGAAUGGCUGGUAACUGGGGUGAAGUCGUAACAAGGUAGCCGUAGAUC